CCUACGGGAGGCAGCAGUGAGGAAUAUUGGUCAAUGGUCGGGAGACUGAACCAGCCAAGCCGCGUGAGGGAGGAAGGUACAGAGUAUCGUAAACCUCUUUUGUCAGGGAACAAAGGCGGGGACGUGUCCCCGGAUGAGUGUACCUGAAGAAAAAGCAUCGGCUAACUCCGUGCCAGCAGCCGCGGUAAUACGGAGGAUGCGAGCGUUAUCCGGAUUUAUUGGGUUUAAAGGGUGCGCAGGCGGUCUGUUAAGUCAGCGGUCAAAGCCCGGGGCUCAACCCCGGCCCGCCGUUGAAACUCGCAGUCGCGAGUUGGAGAGAAGUAUGCGGAAUGCGCGGUGUAGCGGUGAAAUGCAUAGAUAUCGCGCAGAACUCCGAUUGCGAAGGCAGCAUGCCGGCUCCACACUGACGCUGAGGCACGAAAGCGUGGGUAUCGAACAGGAUUAGAUACCCUUGUAGUC
rnacentral:rRNA from 1 species